CAUAGCAUCAUCGGCCAGGCGCUGGGAGCUCAGGCUUCCUGCCUUAGCACUGGCCACUGGAAUCCACAGCUCCUUUGGACACUAGGAGCUCAGCUUACAAGGGUCCUUUGGAUGUUCCCAAAGCUACCUAACGAGAAAGUAUCAGACCUUCAGUUUAGACCUUUGGAGGCCUCAGAUCAGAUUUCUGUCCAGCUGCUGCCUCGGUGUCUCCUUUCCUUUUUCACCAGACUUCUUUAAGAGGAUCUCCUCUCAGGACUUCCCCAGCGGUCCAGUAGUUAAGACUCCUAGCGUCCAAUGCAGGGGCCGCAGGUUCGAUCCCUGUUCAGGGAACUAAGAACCCACAUGCCUCUUGGUGUAGCCAAA
ensembl:lncRNA